rnacentral:misc_RNA from 1 species
GAAGUCACAGAAGAGGCCC